AGUGAACGCUGGCGGUAGGCCUAACACAUGCAAGUCGAACGGCAGCACAGUAAGAGCUUGCUCUUACGGGUGGCGAGUGGCGGACGAGUGAGGCAUACAUCGGAAUCUACUAUUUCGGGGGGGAUAACGUAGGACAACUUCCGCUACUAGCGCAUACGACCUACCGGUGGAAUCAGGGGAUAUUCGGACCUUGCGCGUUUCAAUGAGCCGAUGUCGGAUUAGCUAGUUGGCGGGGUAAAGGCACACCAAGGCGACGAUCCGUAGCUGGUCUGAGAGGAUGAUCAGCCACACUGGAACUGAGACACGGUCCAGACUCCUACGGGAGGCAGCAGUGGGGAAUAUUGGACAAUGGGCGAAAGCCUGACCCAGCCAUACCGCGUGGGUGAAGAAGGCCUUCGGGUCGUAAAGCCCUGUUGUUGGGAAAGAAAAGCAGCAGGUGAAUACCUGGCUGUUCUGACGGUACCCAAAGAAUAAGCACCGGCUAACUUCGUG
rnacentral:rRNA from 1 species